CAGCAGCCGCGGUAAUACGUAGGCAGCGAGCGUUGUUCGGAGUUACUGGGCGUAAAGGGUGUGUAGGCGGCUUUUUAAGUUUGGUGUGAAAUCUCCCGGCUCAACUGGGAGGGUGCGCCGAAUACUGAAGGGCUAGAGUGCGGGAGAGGAGAGUGGAAUUCCUGGUGUAGCGGUGAAAUGCGUAGAUAUCAGGAGGAACACCGGUGGUGUAGACGGCUCUCUGGACCGUAACUGACGCUGAGACACGAAAGCGUGGGUAGCAAACAGGAUUAGAUACCCUGGUAGUCCACGCCCUAAACGAUGCAUAUUUGGUGUGGGUCAUUCAGUUGAUCCGUGCCGGAGCUAACGCGUUAAAUAUGCCGCCUGGGGAGUACAGUCGCAAGGCUGAAACUCAAAGGAAUUGACGG
rnacentral:rRNA from 1 species